AGAGUUUGAUCCUGGCUCAGAAUGAACGCUGGCGGCGUGCUUAACACAUGCAAGUCGGACGAGAAAGGCUGAUUUCGGUUGGCCGAGUAAAGUGGCGCACGGGUGAGUAACGCGUAGGUAACCUGCCCUUGUAUUUGGGAUAACAGAGCGAAAGUUCUGCUAAUACCGGAUGAGAUCCUGCGACGGGAGUUGGAGGAUGAAAGUCGGCCUCUUCGAUGAAAGCUGACAUACGGGGAUGGGCCUGCGUCCUAUCAGCUAGUUGGUGGGGUAACGGCCUACCAAGGCGACGACGGGUAGCUGGUCUGAGAGGAUGAUCAGCCACACUGGCACUGGAACACGGGCCAGACUCCUACGGGAGGCAGCAGUGAGGAAUUUCGCGCAAUGGCCGUAAGGCUGACGCAGCAACGCCGCGUGGGUGAUGAAGGCCUUCGGGUCGUAAAGCCCUGUCAGGUGGGAAGAAAGGUCUUAAGGAGAAACACUUGGGAUUUGACGGUACCACCAGAGGAAGCACCGGCUAACUCCGUGCCAGCAGCCGCGGUAAUACGGAGGGUGCGAGCGUUAUUCGGAAUUAUUGGGCGUAAAGCGCGUGUAGGCGGGGGAGCAAGUCUGAUGUGAAAGCCCUGGGCUUAACCCGGGAAGGGCAUUGGAAACUGUUUCUCUUGAGUACUGGAGAGGAAGGGGGAAUUCCCGGUGUAGAGGUGAAAUUCGUAGAGAUCGGGAGGAAUACCAGUGGCGUAGGCGCCUUUCUGGACGGUUACUGACGCUGAGACGCGAAAGCGUGGGGAGCAAACAGGAUUAGA
rnacentral:rRNA from 1 species